rnacentral:rRNA from 1 species
UAUGGGACGAGAAGACCCUAUAGAGUUUGACAUUUGGUUUAUUUGUUUGUUGGUUGUUUGUUUAUUUUGUUGGUGAAUGGGCUUUUUGUUUUGUUGGGGUGAUGAGAGGAAUGUAGUUAACUCUUCUUUGUUUUGAUUAUAUUUAUUUAUAGUUAUUUGAUCCAUUUAUUUUGAUUAUAAGACUAAAUUACCUUAGGGAUAACAGCGUUAUCUUCCUUGAGAGUUCUUAUCGGCAGGGGGGUUUGCGACCUCGAUGUUGGAUUAAGGUGAAUUUUUGGUGUAGGGGCUGAAAGUUGUAUUGGGUCUGUUCGACCCUUGGAAUCUUACAUGAUCUGAGUUCAAACCGGCGUGAGCCAGGUUGGUUUCUAUCUAUAAAUGUAAUUUUAUACCUUAGUACGAGAGGACCAGGUAU